CCNCUGCUAUCACUACUCUCGUUGCUUUGGCGGGCCGCUGGGCCCUGCCCGGCCGCCGGCCCCGGCUGGCGCGUGCCCGCCAGAGACCUCACAGACUCUGAAUGUUAGUGUCGUCCGAGUAACUAUACAAUCGUUAAAACUUUCAACAACGGAUCUCUUGGUUCUGGCAUCGAUGAAGAACGCAGCGAAAUGCGAUAAGUAAUGCGAAUUGCAGAAUUCAGUGAGUCAUCGAAUCUUUGAACGCACAUUGCGCCCUGUGGUAUUCCGCAGGGCAUGCCUGUUCGAGCGUCAUUUCAACCCUCAAGCCUCGCUUGGUGUUGGGCCCUGCCCGCCGCGGCCGGCCCUAAAGAUAGUGGCGGCGCCGCCUGGCCCUCAGCGUAGUACAGCUCUCGCUCCAGGGUCCGGCGGCAGCCUGCCAGAACCCCCCAACUCUGUGGUUGACCUCGGAUCAGGUAGGGAUACCCGCUGAACUUAAGCAUAUCAAUAAGCGGAGGA
rnacentral:rRNA from 1 species